rnacentral:rRNA from 1 species
UACAGCGGGAGGCCAGGCGGCGACGCCGAGCGGAACCCGAAAACCUGUCUCAGUUCGGAUCGGAGUCUGCAACCCGACUCCGUGAAGCUGGAUUCGCUAGUAAUCGCGCAUCAGCCAUGGCGCGGUGAAUACGUUCCCGGGCCUUGUACACACCGCCCGUCAAGCCAUGGAAGUUGGGGGCGCCCGAAGCCACUUAGCUAACCCUUUUGGGAAGCGAGUGUCGAAGGUGAAAUCAAUAACUGGGGUGAAGUCGUAACAAGGUAUC